UUUGAAAGCCAGAUAAUUUAGGGGCAGAUAAUGCAGGAAUCCAGAAGCACCCAAUUUCUAAUGCAGUCGACUGGAGGAGACUCUGUGAUGUCUCUUUGCAGUCUGUGCUUGGGUGGUUUUUGCUGCGUACAGUAUCAGACCUUUUUGACAAGAAGCAGCAUUUGAUUAAGGGGUGAACUUUUUCCCUGUCCUCAAGGAAUGGAGAGCCAAAGAGGUUUCUUGUCAUCCCUAGAAAUUCUGCCUGCUGGUUUAUUAUCAUGAGAAUGUGUCUGCAUUGUUCACUGGAGGUAGCUGAGCAAAGCUGGACCUAUCUACAGCUGAGAAAAGUACACUUGAAAGCAAGUUGUAGCCUCAGUUGACAACAAAAACGUUUGCUAAGCUUCACCACUAGGUGGCAGAUCCUCCAGAUGUGAGUUGGGAUCCUGUUCCCUCUGCCAGGUUCCACCACCGCGGUAGCUGUGGGAUGUGGAAAUCUGACCGAACGGCCUCAGCCAAGACGCAGUGACUCUGAACUGCCUUUUACAGUGAAGGGUUCCACGCAAACAAUUCAGAACAGGUUUGGACAUUCACCUAUUAGUGUGUUUAGAUGAGCACGCUGAUUUCGGAAGGGCAUGGAUGACGGAAGGCACAGAAAAAGAUGUUCCACAUUGCUGACUACUGGAGAAAUGCGGAUUGUGAUUACAACGAGCGACCCUCACCUGGGUCAGCAUAACCGUCAUCAAAAGGUCUGCAAAACAGCAAGUGCUGGAGGGGGUGUGGAGAAAAGGGAACCCUCCCGCACUGCUGGUGGGAACCCAAGCUGGUACAACCACUAUGGAGAACAGUGUGGAGGGGCCUUGAAAACUAGAAAUAGAGCUACCGCGUGAUCUUGCAAUCCCACUCUUGGGUGCAUGUUGAACCAUGAUUUGAAAAGCUACCCCCCAGUGUUCACUGCAGCACUAUUUACGACAGCCAAGAUAUGGAAACAACCUAAGUGUCCAUCAGUGGAUGAGCGGUUAAAGCAGAUACAGAUAAUGGAACACUGCUCAUCCAUAACAGAAUGAAAUCUUGCCAUCGCAGCGAUACAGAUGAGCCUAGAGAUGAUCGUGCCAAGGGAGAGAGAGGCAAAUUUCGUAUGAUACCGCUUAUAUGCAGAAUAAAAAAAAAAAAAACCCAAACAAAUGAACUUAUUUCCAGAAAAAGGAAGAGAUCCAGACAUAGAAAACAAACGUAUGGCCACCAAAGGGGAAAGGGCGGUGGGUGAGGAAGUUGGGGUUAACAUAAUGCCCUAGAAUACAUAAAAUAGAUCACCAGUAAGGACUUACUGUAUAGCACAGGGAAUUAUACUCAAUACUUAAUAAUAACCUACAGCGAAAAGGAUCUAAAAGAUAGAUAUAUACACAUGUAUAGCUGAAUCACUUUGCUGUACACCUGAAACUAACUCAACAUCGUAAAUCAACUGUAGUUCAAUAAAAAAUUAAAAAUAUAUAUAUAAUAUACAGUGCACUAUACAUACAUAUAUAGUCAAAUAUAUAUACAGAACAAAAAAGUAAGGCUUCCUGCACUCUUGACAGAAUUUUAUUUGGUUUGUGUCUAAGUAUCCUUACCCUUAAAACGAGUUGUCACGAGAGUUAAACGGAAUAACCCUUGAAAGGUUAUCUGGCACAUGCUAUUUCCUCCAUAAAUAUUUGUUCACAGAGUGACAGAAUUAGUUAACAACCAAACUAGAAGUAGUUUUCCCGAAAUGCCUCCAGUUGAACAUUGCCUAGUCCAAAGAAAGGGAAACAAAAACCAUCUUACAAGAAAACAAAGUAGAACAAAAUCUCUUUAUUAAAGACAUACAUAUGUAUGUAUGUCUAAAUUACACUCUUCCAAACUUUCUGCUAAAAGGUGACUCACCAUCUGGAGCUGCUAGAAGAGAGGAGUGGGUUAUCACUCAAAGUCCUGGAUUUUUUUAGUUUUUUGGUUUUGGUAAGAAUAGACUACAGUAAUUCACUAAUUCUGUAUUCUUUUUCCUUGGAGCUGCUAUUUCUUUGAGGACUCUGUAAUUUCAGAGGAUAGAAAAAAGGGUAGACUUCUCAGUAUCACUAGAUGUUUAAAAAAUUGUGGACUAUAAUAUAAAUCCACGUCUAAGUAUUUUGAACAACCAAAUAAUUCCCUUCUAUGCUUAAGAUAGCCUGCAGGAUUCACACAGUAAGAAGCUUUCAUGCUAUCAUUAAAGAAGAUGCUACACACAUGGAAAGGGUGGAACAGACGAUGAACAUAUUAUCUUAAACAUUUCCCCAAACUCCAUCAAUUUUGUUCGGAUGCUCAGAUUUUUUCAUUAACAAAGUCCAUUAAGAACGAAAUAAACGUUUGCACAAUAUAAUCCCAACUACCUCACCCUUUUGUUCGACUCUCCAUGUUCUGCACUAUUUUCACUACAUCUCUCUUUUCAACAUCCCGGUAAGGCGGGUUCAUUGUGAAGAUGAAGACUCGGGAGACUGGGAGGCUAUUUCUCCUCAGCCGCAUGGCUAUGACUACUCAGCAAAAUCAGGAUUUGAAUUCAGAUCUUUUGACUACAAGUUCAAUACUCACUUGGCAAGGCUGUACGGUUCUGUGUAGUUUUAGGAAACUGAAUUUGGAUGUGAAUUAAGUGAGUUUCAGCUAUAAAAAGGACGGUUGCUUAAGUCCUAUGCAGAAGGAGUAAAGAAACUACUAGGUUGGAAGAGAAAAAAAAAAAAAGAGAAAAAUAUUUGGCAUAAAGAGAGAGAGAGGGAGAGAGAGAGAAGGAGGCAGGAGAAUAAAGGGCGAUCAGAUCGCUUCCCUGGAGGUGGCUCCCUUCCACACGCCCAGAGCCCAUGCCACACCUAGUUGCUUCUGCAUGUACUUCCUCAGGGUACAGUAGCUCUCGAAGUAUGGCACUCACCACAUUGUGUUAUUUGUGUAGCCAUUCCCUUGCCAUUUAGAGAGCCCUGUAGAGGCAGGUGAUGUCUUUCCCACCUUUGAGACUGGUACACGAUCUGUACUUAACUGUCUAUAUUUUGAAUGUAUUGAACCUAGGAAGGGAGUAAUCGAAUACCUUAGACUCCUGGAUGACACUGCAUUUUUUGCCCACAUGUAUUCCACAGGCAAGGGCUCUAGAAGCUGAAAUUUGCUUGAAAGUGGAUCUGAAAUGGUUGGAUCAUUACGGAGUUGCCAUUAGGACUGCUUAAUAUUUGCAAUUAUUCAAAAACGGUAAUGUCUAUGGAACACUUUAAAUGAAUUGAGAAGACAAGUUCCUGUCUAUUGAAUUUUGGUCCUAAUCAAACUUACAAGCUUUUUAACAGCAAAGGAAACCAUAAAAAAACCAAAAAGUCAACCUACAGAAGGGGAGAAAAUUGUUUCAA
rnacentral:lncRNA from 1 species